AACGAACGCUGGCGGCGGGCCUAACACAUGCAAGUCGAACGGCCGUAGCAAUACGGCAGUGGCAGACGGGUGAGUAACGCGUGGGAACGUGCCCUUUGGUUCGGAAUAACCCGAGGACACUUGGGCUAAUACCGAAUGCGCCGCCGAGCAAUUGGGGGGAAAGAUGCAUCGCCGAAGGAUCGGCCCGCGUCUGAGUAGCUGGUUGGUGGGGUAAUGGCCCACCAAGGCGACGAUCAGUAGCUGGUCUGAGAGGAUGACCAGCCACACCGGGACUGAGACACGGCCCGGACUCCUACGGGAGGCAGCAGUGGGGAAUAUUGGACAAUGGGGGAAACCCUGAUCCAGCCAUGCCGCGUGAGUGAUGAAGGCUCUUGGGUUGUAAAGCUCUUUCGGCGGGGAGGAUAAUGACGGUACCCGCAGAAGAAGCCCCGGCUAACUUCGUGCCAGCCGCCGCGGUAA
rnacentral:rRNA from 1 species